rnacentral:rRNA from 1 species
GAUGAACGCUGGCGGCGUGCUUAACACAUGCAAGUCGAACGGGAUCCAUCAGGCUUUGCUUGGUGGUGAGAGUGGCGAACGGGUGAGUAAUGCGUGACCGACCUGCCCCAUACACCGGAAUAGCUCCUGGAAACGGGUGGUAAUGCCGGAUGCUCCAGUUGAUCGCAUGGUCUUCUGGGAAAGCUUUCGCGGUAUGGGAUGGGGUCGCGUCCUAUCAGCUUGACGGCGGGGUAACGGCCCACCGUGGCUUCGACGGGUAGCCGGCCUGAGAGGGCGACCGGCCACAUUGGGACUGAGAUACGGCCCAGACUCCUACGGGAGGCAGCAGUGGGGAAUAUUGCACAAUGGGCGCAAGCCUGAUGCAGCGACGCCGCGUGAGGGAUGGAGGCCUUCGGGUUGUAAACCUCUUUUAUCGGGGAGCAAGCGUGAGUGAGUUUACCCGUUGAAUAAGCACCGGCUAAC